rnacentral:rRNA from 1 species
GUCCACGCCGUAAACGAUGUGCACUAGGCGUGGGGCACGUACGUGCUCUGUGCCGUAGCUAACGUGAUAAGUGCACCGCCUGGGGAGUAUGCUCGCAAGGGUGAAACUCAAAGGAAUUGACGGGGGCCCGCACAAGCGGUGGAGCAUGUGGUUUAAUUCGAUGGUACACGAGGAACCUUACCAGGGCUUGACAUGUGCGUGAAUGUUCACGAGAGUGGGCAGCCCCGCAAGGGGCGCGUACACAGGUGCUGCAUGGCUGUCGU